AAAACUCAGAAUCAUAUAGUGCAUAUGCAGCUUUAAAGAAUGCUAACGUUUUAUAAGGUAGCUUACUAUACUCUUCUUCAAUAUCCAAUAGCAAAAAAUCAUCGUACUCUGCUACCUCCUUCUUGAGUUCCAACAUUUUCGCCUUGUCACUUGUCUUUCCAAUAAUAAACCUGAAAGCCAAGCCAGUGGCUUCUUCCAAACGUUGAAGCCCUUCCCGAUCAGAAGGCAACCAUGUGUUUCUCAAAGAUCGCCGCCGACCAACAGAUGAAAACCCAGUCUGGAUCCCAACAAACCCCAUCACUUUAUGCCGCUUCGCAUCACUACCAGUUCCUCCAAUACUACUACCACCAGAAUCAGCCGCUCUGUCCCAGACGACUUUGACAGUCCUGGGGUCACGGUUGGAGCAAUUAUACCGGAGACGAGGAGUGAGAAAAGAGGUGAGGCCGAAGAUGAAGCCAGAAAUUCCGAUGAGGAGACAAGAGGAGAGAAGGAGGACGGAGGAUCGGCGAGAGUAGAACGGAGAAGUGGGGGAAUGGCGAGCGUGAAAGAGCUUAGGCGAGGAAGGCAUGGCGGAAAGCUAAGCGUCGAAGAAGCCUCCGAUUCGGUGAAAGGCCCUCUCCG
rnacentral:misc_RNA from 1 species